rnacentral:misc_RNA from 1 species
UCUCCGUUGGUGAAACAGCGGAGGGAUCAUUACAGGACUCGCAAGACUCCUACAACCCUGUGAACUUAACUAUAAGCACGUUGCUUCGGCGGGUGUCUCGGAGGGGGUUCUCCCUCCCCGAGACGCUAAACCCGCCGGCAGCCUACUAUACUCUGUCUCUUUGCGUUGGCAUCUCGAGUACAAUCAAACAAGUUAAAACUUUCAACAACGGAUCUCUUGGUUCUG